AAAUUGAAGAGUUUGAUCAUGGCUCAGAUUGAACGCUGGCGGCAGGCCUAACACAUGCAAGUCGAACGGUAACAGGAAACAGCUUGCUGUUUCGCUGACGAGUGGCGGACGGGUGAGUAAUGUCUGGGAAACUGCCUGAUGGAGGGGGAUAACUACUGGAAACGGUAGCUAAUACCGCAUAACGUCGCAAGACCAAAGAGGGGGACCUUCGGGCCUCUUGCCAUCGGAUGUGCCCAGAUGGGAUUAGCUAGUAGGUGGGGUAACGGCUCACCUAGGCGACGAUCCCUAGCUGGUCUGAGAGGAUGACCAGCCACACUGGAACUGAGACACGGUCCAGACUCCUACGGGAGGCAGCAGUGGGGAAUAUUGCACAAUGGGCGCAAGCCUGAUGCAGCCAUGCCGCGUGUAUGAAGAAGGCCUUCGGGUUGUAAAGUACUUUCAGCGGGGAGGAAGGGAGUAA
rnacentral:rRNA from 1 species